CCUAACCUAACCUCACCUUCCCUCCCACUCACCUCUGCCACCUCUUCAUACUGCCUCACUCAACCAUAACUUUCCUCCAUCAGUCAAGAAGCACAAGAAGGAUGGUGUGUCGGAGGCAGAGCGGCAUUGGCAUCUGCUGCGUUGAGGGAGGUAUGUGGAGUUCAACUUGGUGUACCACCGAGGCACCAAGUUUGGAUUUGCCAUGGCCAACGCCAGGAUUGAGAGUAUCUUGAUGUCUCUUGCUCUUCAUGCGAGCCCUGGAGGAUGAGAACACAGUGUUACAAGUGGAAUACAACCAUCUAAAGUCCCAGCAGCCAGUGGGGUCCUCUGAGGACAGCCUGGGCCCUCAGUGUUCAGAGGCGGAGAUGCUGGUGGAGGCAAAACUCUUGAGGUAACACAAGGGGCAGCUGGAGGCACGGAUGGGCAUUCUGUAGGUGCACAAUAAACAGCUGGAGGCACAACUGCAGCACCUCAGACAGCUGCUGGGAGAGGCUGUGGAGGUCCAGCGACACACUGCACACUGCUCACUGUACACUGCUUACAUAAACGUAUGUGCAGAGUGCAAGACUUAGAGGGCCAAGGAUGGAGGAUGCUUCAAGACAGAGAGUGGCAAGGAUGGAGGAUGCUUCAAGACAGGGGCAAGG